rnacentral:rRNA from 1 species
AUACGGAGGGUGCAAGCGUUGUUCGGAAUUACGGGGCGUAAAGCGCGCGUAGGUGGUCUGUUAUGUCAGAUGUGAAAGUCCACGGCUCAACCGUGGAAGUGCAUUUGAAACUGGCAGACUUGAGUACUGGAGGGGGUAGUGGAAUUCCCGGUGUAGAGGUGAAAUUCGUAGAUAUCGGGAGGAAUACCGGUGGCGAAGGCGACUACCUGGCCAGAUACUGACGCUGAGGUGCGAAAGCGUGGGGAGCAAACAGGAUUAGAAACCCCGGUAGUCC